UGGGUAACCUGCCUCAAAGAGGGGAAUAGCCUCCCGAAAGGGGAGAUUAAUACCGCAUAAUAUGUUUAGGUCGCAUGACUUUAACAUCAAAGGAUUUUCUUUUAGAAAUUCCACUUUGAGAUGGACCCGCGGCGCAUUAGCUAGUUGGUGAGGUAACGGCUCACCAAGGCAACGGACGGGUAGCUGGUCUGAGAGGAUGGCCAGCCACAUUGGGACUGAGACACGGCCCAGACUCCGUAGGGAGG
rnacentral:rRNA from 1 species